rnacentral:lncRNA from 11 species
GCGAGAGUCAGGUGCCCCAUGCCUCAAUGCUAUGGAAUCAUGGGCGUUUGAGACGUGAAGAUAUACGCCCCCACUUUUUAAUUAAAGAAAGAGAGCGACAAGGGAAAGCAGAGGCUGGAGGAGGAAGAGAGAGGACAAAAGAAAGGGACGGAGAAGCCCGAGGAGAUGGAGAAGACUCGACUUGAAGCCGCUUUGGCAAACAGGGAGAAAGACAAGACAAUGGCCCAGUUCCUGCCUGCUCCCGAAAAGGACGAGGCCUGGGUGAGUGGGGGAAGAGGCAGCCGAGCCUCUUUCCGACCCAGCAACGGUUCCUAUGACGGGGUUGGGGGUGGCGAGGGCGGCUGUUGCCCCCCCCCCCCAAUCUCCAAUACCACCCAAGACGUUAUUCAGGGCGAACAAUCCCCAUUAUCUGUCCCCACUUUGGCUUAAUCAGACAGAACCUGGAAUAGCAGAGGCUGCUUCCUGCUGGCUUUGGGGGGUGAGGAUUCUCUGGGGGAGAGGGAGGGGGUCUGAGGUGGGUGCGUGCGGAGGGGGGUGGGUGGGAGCGAGGGAGCCCUCUCUCCCAUUAGCCCUUUGGCACUUGACUCACUCGGGAGGGUGGGAGAGGAGAGCAGCGCUUGUGUGGACGGUGGGCCGGACGGCCAAUAUAAACAGUAGCCAAGCGGGCAUGAGCCAGCCCCGGCCUGGUCGCCUUCCCUGCCAGGCCCCCGGCGUCGCCCCCAUGGCAGGCAGGAUCAGCUUCACCGUCCGGAGCCUCUUGGAUUUACCCGAGAACGAGGGCGAAGGAAGCAGCGGCCAAAGCAGGAGAGACGCUGAGCCCAUGGAAAGGGGAUACAGAGGCGGAUCCCUCUUCGGGGAGUGGAUGGAGACCGACCGGAGCCAUUAUUUGUCUUCGGAUGAGAGCUGCAGCGAGAGCAGGACUCACCCUGCGGCGAUGGCUCCCAGCGGAGGAAGGAAGAGGAGGAAGAAG